UACGUAGGGGGCAAGCGUUGUCCGGAUUUACUGGGCGUAAAGGGCGUGUAGGCGGCAUGUUAAGUUAGGUGUGAAAUUUCAGGGCUUAACCCUGAAACUGCGCCUAAAACUGGCAAGCUAGAGGGCAGGAGAGGGAAGUGGAAUUCCCGGUGUAGCGGUGGAAUGCGUAGAUAUCGGGAGGAACACCAGUGGCGAAGGCGGCUUCCUGGACUGUACCUGACGCUGAGGCGCGAAAGCUAGGGGAGCAAACAGGAUUAGAUACC
rnacentral:rRNA from 1 species